UACGUAGGCAGCGAGCGUUGUUCGGAAUUACUGGGCGUAAAGAGUGUGUAGGCGGUGCUCUAAGUUCGGUGUGAAAUCUCCUGGCUUAACUGGGAGGGUGCGCCGAAAACUGGAGUGCUCGAGCGUGGGAGAGGAAAGCGGAAUUCCUGGUGUAGCGGUGAAAUGCGUAGAUAUCAGGAGGAACACCUGCGGUGUAGACGGCUUUCUGGACCAUUGCUGACGCUGAGACACGAAAGCGUGGGUAGCAAACAGG
rnacentral:rRNA from 1 species